GAAUUCGCCCUUAGAGUUUGAUCCUGGCUCAGGACGAACGCUGGCGGCGUGCCUAACACAUGCAAGUCGAACGGAACUGUUUUGAAAGAUUUCUUCGGAAUGAAUUUGAUUUAGUUUAGUGGCGGACGGGUGAGUAACGCGUGAGUAACCUGCCUUCAAGAGGGGGAUAACAUUCUGAAAAGAAUGCUAAUACCGCAUGACAUAUCGGAACCACAUGGUUCUGAUAUCAAAGAUUUUAUCGCUUGAAGAUGGACUCGCGUCCGAUUAGUUAGUUGGUGAGGUAACGGCUCACCAAGACCGCGAUCGGUAGCCGGACUGAGAGGUUGAACGGCCACAUUGGGACUGAGACACGGCCCAGACUCCUACGGGAGGCAGCAGUGGGGGAUAUUGCGCAAUGGGGGCAACCCUGACGCAGCAACGCCGCGUGAAGGAUGAAGGUUUUCGGAUUGUAAACUUCUUUUAUUAAGGACGAAACUUGACGGUACUUAAUGAAUAAGCUCCGGCUAACUACGUGCCAGCAGCCGCGGUAAUACGUAGGGAGCAAGCGUUGUCCGGAUUUACUGGGUGUAAAGGGUGCGUAGGCGGCUUUGCAAGUCAGAUGUGAAAUCUAUGGGCUCAACCCAUAAACUGCAUUUGAAACUGUAGAGCUUGAGUGAAGUAGAGGCAGGCGGAAUUCCCCGUGUAGCGGUGAAAUGCGUAGAGAUGGGGAGGAACACCAGUGGCGAAGGCGGCCUGCUGGGCUUUAACUGACGCUGAGGCACGAAAGCGUGGGUAGCAAACAGGAUUAGAUACCCUGGUAGUCCACGCUGUAAACGAUGAUUA
rnacentral:rRNA from 1 species